rnacentral:rRNA from 1 species
GACGAACGCUGGCGGCGUGCUUAACACAUGCAAGUCGAACGGAAAGGCCCUGCUUUUGUGGGGUGCUCGAGUGGCGAACGGGUGAGUAACACGUGAGUAACCUGCCCUUGACUUUGGGAUAACUUCAGGAAACUGGGGCUAAUACCGGAUAGGAGCCCCUGCUGCAUGGUGGGGGUUGGAAAGUUUCGGCGGUUGGGGAUGGACUCGCGGCUUAUCAGCUUGUUGGUGGGGUAGUGGCUUACCAAGGCUUUGACGGGUAGCCGGCCUGAGAGGGUGACCUGCCACAUUGGGACUGAGAUACGGCCCAGACUCCUACGGGAGGCAGCAGUGGGGAAUAUUGCACAAUGGGCGGAAGCCUGAUGCAGCAACGCCGCGUGCGGGAUGGCCGCCUUCGGGUUGUAAACCGCUUUCGCCUGGGACGAAGCGUGAGUGACGGUAAUGGGUAAAGAAGCACCGGCUAACUACGUG